AGAGCGAACGCUGGCGGCGUGCUUAACACAUGCAAGUCGAACGCGCAGCAUUCUGUAGCAAUACAGGGUGUGGGCGCGUGGCGAACGGGUGCGUAACACGUGGAUAACCUUCCUUGAGGUGGGGAAUAACCCAGUGAAAAUUGGGCUAAUACCGCAUAACAUCGCGAUGGCACAUGCUGAUGCGAUCAAAGGCGCAAGUCGCCACAAGAGGGAUCCGCGGCCGAUUAGCUUGUUGGCGAGGUAAUGGCUCACCAAGGCAAUGAUCGGUAGCCGGACUGAGAGGUUGGCCGGCCACACUGGAACUGAGACACGGUCCAGACUCCUACGGGAGGCAGCAGUGGGGAAUCUUGCACAAUGGACGAAAGUCUGAUGCAGCAACGCCGCGUGGGGGAUGAAGCUUCUCGGAGUGUAAACCCCUUUCGACCCGGAAGAAUGCCCGCAAGGGUAUGACGGUACGGGUAUAAGAACGCCCGGCUAACUACGUG
rnacentral:rRNA from 1 species